GCUUCAGAAAUCCAAACUAACAACAUAUACCUUGGCAUGGGGACUGGUGGCAACCAUCACAUGGAUACUUAUAGAAUUAAGACUAAACUAUAGUUGAGAGAAGAUGGUGUGUAACAACACUGUGUUCUGAUUCUAUACAUACUCUCCAGAUACUCUUGAACUAGUGGGCUAGAAAGUUAGGAGGUUUCUCAUUCCUUCUGAUCCUUUUGUCAGCUAAGGUUUGCAGGGUUACAGGCUUGGGCCAAGAAACAUUUUUGGAUCAAACUGGCAGUCACUGCCAAAGACAUGGCUGAGGUUGACACAGCCUUCAUCUAUGAGGUAGAGGAGUUGACUGAUGACAGACAACAAAUGAACAAAUAGGUGACAUUGCUCGGUGAACAGCACAAGUGACCUGGAAAUAAAGAAUGUCAGUAUGGAGCUCUCGGCUACUUCUCCAGCACUAUGCCUGUCCUGCUGGCCGCCAUGCUUCCUGCCCUUAUGACAAUGGACUAAGCCUCUGAAACUGACCAGAUGACAACUCAUUGAAAUAGAGCUACACAGUAGAAGGGAUUCAAGAAUAAUUUCCUGGAUAUGGUACCAAAAGCCCAGACAACAGCAAAAAUUGACCAAUGAGACUGACUCCACGAAGCUCGAGCUCCCAAUGACAACAACUGACAGGAAGGAAAGAUGACCUACAGAAGGAGGGAGAAGAUGCAAGCUAUAAAUGUCCAGGAGUUAAUGUUCCAAAUAUAUAAAAAGCCCAUAACCACAUCAAUGAAAACAGUCUGAUUUUUAACUAGACAAACAACUUAAGACAUUUCUCCAAAAAAUAUACAAAUGGCCAAAUAAACACAUGAAAAUUGUUCAACAUUAUUCAUCAUCAGGGAAAUGCAAUGAAAUAUACAGUGAGGUACCGCCUAAUAGUCACUAGAAGGAAGAGUCACUAUGAAAACAAAC